GACGAACGCUGGCGGUGUGCUUAACACAUGCCAGUCGAACGGAAAUGCCCGGGUGUUGUUGGGUGGUCGAGUGGCGAACUGGUGCGUAACACGUGGGUACCCUCCCCUUGACUGAGGGGUAACUUCCAGAAACUGGGACGAAUGCGUAAGACGAGGUCCUCUUCCGUAGAGUGGGGGGGAAAUUUUCGGCGGAUGUGGAUAGCGCCGCGGUUUAUCCGCUUGUUGGUGGAGUAGGUGCGUACCAAGGCUUUGACGGGUAGCCGGCCUGAUAGGGUGACCGGCCACAUUGGGACCGGGAUACCGCCCAGACUCCUACGGGAGGCAGGAGGGGGGAAUAUUGCACAAUGGGCGGAAGCCCGAUGCAGCAACGCCGGGGGCGGUAUAACGGCCUUCGGGUUGUAGACAGCUUUCGCCGGUGACGAAGCGUGCGUGACGGUAAUGGGUGAAGAAGCACCGGCUAACUACGUG
rnacentral:rRNA from 1 species